UGGUUCAAGUCCCUCCAUCCCCA
rnacentral:tRNA from 1 species